UGGGGAAUUUUGGACAAUGGGGGAAACCCUGAUCCACCCAUCCCGCGUGUGCGAUGAAGGCCUUCGGGUUGUAAAGCCCUUUUGGCAGGAAAGAAACGUCAUGGGUUAAUACCCCGUGAAACUGACGGUACCUGCAGAAUAAGCACCGGCUAACUACGUGCCAGCAGCCGCGGUAAUACGUAGGGUGCAAGCGUUAAUCGGAAUUACUGGGCGUAAAGCGUGCGCAGGCGGUUCGGAAAGAAAGAUGUGAAAUCCCAGAGCUCAACUUUGGAACUGCAUUUUUAACUACCGGGCUAGAGUGUGUCAGAGGGAGGUGGAAUUCCGCGUGUAGCAGUGAAAUGCGUAGAUAUGCGGAGGAACACCGAUGGCGAAGGCAGCCUCCUGGGAUAACACUGACGCUCAUGCACGAAAGCGUGGGGAGCAAACAGG
rnacentral:rRNA from 1 species